UUUUUUCUUACACAUGUGUUUUUCUUUUUUUGAAAACUUUGCUUUGGUAGGCCUUCUAUAUGGGGCCUGCCAGAGAUUAAACUCAACCAAAUUUUAUUUAAUGUCAACCGAUUAUUUAAUAGUCAAAACUUUCAACAACGGAUCUCUUGGUUCUCGCAUCGAUGAAGAACGCAGCGAAAUGCGAUAAGUAAUAUGAAUUGCAGAUAUUCGUGAAUCAUCGAAUCUUUGAACGCACAUUGCGCCCUUUGGUAUUCCAAAGGGCAUGCCUGUUUGAGCGUCAUUUCUCCCUCAAACCCUCGGGUUUGGUGUUGAGCGAUACGCUGGGUUUGCUUGAAAGAAAGGCGGAGUAUAAACUAAUGGAUAGGUUUUUUCCACUCAUUGGUACAAACUCCAAAACUUCUUCCAAAUUCGACCUCAAAUCAGGUAGGACU
rnacentral:rRNA from 1 species